rnacentral:tRNA from 1 species
ACGGGUGUAGCUCAGUUGGUAGAGUACCGGUCUCCAAAACCGUGGGUCGUAGGUUCGAACCCUGCCACCCGUG